CUUCCUAACAGGACUUGGGGUCCCGGUGCUGCUUCCUGCUGUGGGGCACCUCCCUGCUCCCGCGGGGGUAGGGGUGCCUGGGGACACGGCAUCCUGGGGGCAGCUGCACCUUGCCUGCCCUCCUCCACCGGCAGUGAAGGUGCAGCGAUGCAGCUGGCUUCUGCUGGAGGUUGUGAGCAAGAAACGCCAGAAGCUGCCCAACAGCGUGAAGCUCUCCGUUCCGAAGCCGUAGGGAGGAUGACGGCAACGACGGAUGUUAAUGAAGAGCAGCCUGCAGAGAAAAAAGAAAGGAUGUGGGGAGAGGAGUGCCCUCCGGCUGAGGAGGGGACCCCGUGCGUGGAAGUCCACUGUCUGCUCCAUAGCCAAGGUGGCCUUGCUGUUCUUUAGGGUCUGACCCUGCUCUCGUCUUCAUGCCCGUCUUCUGUCUGACGGCCAUGUGCAGGUUCAGCUGCCUCCAGCUCUUCUCCCCGACUUGCUUUCCCGUCCUGUGGAGGAAGGGCACGUCUCCGCAGCUGACAUCUCCCUUGGGCCUGCGCUUGCACCGAGCCGCUGCCAGAACGGGAACUGCAGGCGUCUGUUGAACAACAAAGCAAACGCCCAAGCAUUUCGGGUGUGAUGUCCCCAGCAUUCCAAGGAGAGAUUACGCAGCAGCAGCCCAAACGUCUGGAAUGGCUUCUUUCUAGGAGAGAAGCAAAGCCUUGGCGGAGCCAGAGCAGGAGCUUCUUUCCUGAAGGGAAGAGAACCUCCAGCCAUCGCUAUCCAUCUCCUCCCCCGCCAAAGGCCAAAGGCCAAAAGCCAAAGGCCAAAUCCCAAAUCCCAUAUCCCAAAUCCCCAAUCCCAAAUCCCAAAUCCCAAAUCCCCGCCUCCAUUGCUAACAUCAGAGCACAGCAAGCCGUACGUGUGCAGAAGCAUCCCAGAUUCCUAUGGCUCUGUAGCGGUGCGCUAAAGAGGGCCUCGGUCCUACAGCCUCACGGCAGGAACUUGGCAAACAAGGAGCUUCUCACGGGACUGCUCACUUGCAUCCACUGCCAUCGCAUCCACAGCCCGCAGCCCGCAGCCCGCAGCCGUCGGGUGAAGCCCUCAAGAGUACAACGGAGGUCGAGUGCUGAAAGCACGGGAGAGUUCCCGCAGCAACUGCUGCUAACAGCAGACGCUCCCAGCAACUCCAAGGAAGCCCUGAGAGCCCCGAGCCGUGCCCCAGGACCGCUUCCUCUCUCGAUUCACCGCCACCGCCACGGGAAAAGCAGACGGGAAAAGGGCACCGACGAAAGCUGCCGAUCGCGUUCACGACGGAGGCACUGCCGGCACUCGGGAGGACGGGAGAGCCCGGGGCUACUCGGCUCGAAGCGCUUCCCGCCCGCCCCGUUUCCCCACCUGGCAGCGCGGCGGCGGGUCGGCUCCGGGUGCGCUUUCCGGCCCUUCCGGCAGGCGGCGCCACAGCAGUGAACCGCUGGCUUCACUCCGGCAUCGGGCACCGCGUCGCCAACGCGGGCGGCGCCGCGGGAAGAGGCCGCCAGCGGUACGCGAGUACGCGCCGACUGGACGCAGGCGUGCUUAGCGGCGUCGCGGAAAGAAAGCCGGUAGCAACGGCACGCGUUCUAACGGGCGGCGUACCUCCUAGCGAGCCGUCCGUCGGAGAUCGCCGGCAAGCGAGCCGCCUCACGGGAGCGAGCGUGGUCGAGUUAGCGGCGCUCCUCCCCGUGCCAAAGGGAGCUGCUUUGCUCUGAGUCCGCAUUUGCGAGGACGACGAGGACGACGAGGACGACGAGGAAGGGGCCGGCCGGAGGACGCUCGCGCGUUACGCGUCUCCAGGGCGCGCGCAGAGCCGUGCGUCACUGCCACCGCACAGCGCCCGCCCGAGCCGCGCGUCGCCGCGGCAACGGCUUCUCCCCUCCUCCUCGCGGCUCCUCCUCUGCCUCUGCCUCUGCCUCUGCCUCUGCCUCUGCCUCUGCCUCUGCCUCUGCCUCUGCCUCUGCCUCUGCCUCUGAUUCCCUCUGCCUCCCCCCCCACUCGGCGGCGGGACCAUGUCGCUAAGUACUACAUCUACCAUUUCCUUAAACAUCACCAGGGACUAUGACUGUACCACUUCCCUGGGCAGCCCAUUUCAGUACCUCACCACCCUUUCUGAGAAGAAAUUUUUUCUAAUAUUCAACCUGAACCUCUUCUGGUGCCGCUGCAGGCCAUCACUUCUGGUCCUAUCACUAGCUAGCUGGUAGAAGGGGCCGACCCCCAUCUGGCUACAACUUCCAUACAGAAAGCUAUAGCACAACUAACUAAAAUGAAUUUCUUUGUCAGCGCAUACACAGAUAACAUUAUGGAGGAUUUGAAGCAGCAAGUACCAGAAUAAAUUAUAUGGUAUGGGAGGGUUGCUAUUCAAGCUGGAUGAAAAGUACAAAUGUUUCUAACGCAUUUCUGCUUCUGGUAUUUCCUAGAUUCUGUUUCUAUAGAAUUCUGUUUCGUGAAGAAAAGACAGAGAAAAUAUAUUCACAAGAGCGCAUGAAAGAAAGUGCCAUUUUAACAAUGAGUGAGAAAGUAUGUGCUUUUUCGAAAGGAUGUUAUGCUGUGGAGAUUCUGUGAUUUUCCUGCUGAAAGUGAUAUGCUGCCUGUAAUACCUCAUAUCUAUACAUAUCUGUACAUAUCUGUACACAUACAGAAACUUGGAAACAGUUUUCUAAACCAUUUUAAAAACCUUCCAGAGGAAAAGUUUCGGUGGGUUUUGAAUCUGUUUGUUAAAGAUGUUAAAAUGCAAUACUGUCCAGUUAGUAGAAGUGAAUAGCAUUUGAAGUGCUACAGCACACCACUGUUAUGUGAUCGCUUUCCCUUUUUAAUCUAUGAUGUGUGUACCUUCCUUUAAUAAAAACAAAACGAAACUG
ensembl:lncRNA